rnacentral:rRNA from 1 species
UACGAAGGGGGCUAGCGUUGCUCGGAAUUACUGGGCUUAAAGGGUGCGUAGGCGGUGGAGUAAGUCGGAUGUGAAAUACCUUAGCUUAACUAGGGAACUGCACUCGAUACUACUUUGCUAGAGUAAGACAGAGGUGAGUGGAACUGAGGGUGGAGCGGUGAAAUGCGUUGAUAUCCUCAGGAACACUGGUGGCGAAGGCGACUCACUGGGUCUUUACUGACGCUGAUGCACGAAAGCUAGGGUAGCAAACGGG